UUUUGAUUAUACUGCAUAUGUGACUUUUAAGGAAGCUUAUGCCCUGGGAACUGCAUUAUUGCUUAAUGGUUCGAUGAUUUUGGACCAAAGCAUUUCCAUUUCACGUUGGGAAGCUUAUACAGAUGACAAUAAUUGGAACAGGCAUAACGUUGAAGACAGUAUUACAUGCUCUCAAAUUGCUAUAACAUCUUACGGAUUGGGCGUGUUAAUGCGAUCGGAG